rnacentral:lncRNA from 1 species
GGAAGUAGGAGGGAAAGGGUAGGAGGGCCGAGAGAGGAGCCAGGCAGAUCUGGGGGCUCAGGAGCAGGUGGAGGAGGCCAAGGGACAGCCUCCCGGAGGGCCGGGGAGCGACACAGAUCCGCACGGCACAGGGACACUGAAGCCUCAGAGCUCGUUUCACACCAGCUGAGGUGCGACGGCUUCUCCACCCCUCCUCCCAUCACAGCCAGCUUCUUGGCCACUCGGGUGACAUCCAGGACCCCAGGCUGGGAGGUGGGAGGCACGGACUCAUAUCCUGACCCUCCACUCCCUGGCUUGGACUUAAUCUGAUUGCGAAGGAACACACUGACAAGGGGCGCACACUCCACGCCCAUCUGCAGGCCCGCUGGCUGUGAGGUAGUGAGCUCCCCGUCCUCAGGGGUAUGCGAGCAGGAACCACCAACAUGUUGGUGAAGUCGUGGAGGGCAGAGGAAAGGGGACAAGCAUCCUUCUGAGUCUCAGACACCAGGUCCCUUCUCUUCUGGGAGUCCCAUCUGCAAGGACUGUAGUAGCUGGCAUUUAGUGAGCACCUCCUGCAUACCAGGCUCUUUGCCACACUUGGCAGGCACCACUUCACUGACCCUCCCCAUACCCUGUGUGUAGGCACCGUUCCUCCCGCGCGUUCCAGAUGAGAAGACCGAGACACGGAGGUCAGGUGACUUGUGGAUGUCCCCAGGCUGGUCAGGUGGGCAGAACCGAGACAACGGUGUGGCACAGAGCUUGCAUCCUGUCCCACAAGGCAGCAUAAACUGUAGCCCCAAUUAUGGGAAAUCCAACCCUAUUUACAAAGACGUUCUCUCAGCUUUGAGAAGGUUCCCCAGCAUCACAGCGGGGCUUUGGCUGGAAGACAGUGGGCCGUGGCUCCAUCAGGCCGGGGGCAGCCCCAGCCCUGCCAGGACAGGCAGGUGCCAGGCCACGAGGCACCUGUGGCAGCGGAAGGCGGGGCACCUUGUCCUCCCAGGGGGCGGGGCACUGGGUGCCAGGAGCGGGCCCGGGCGCAGCCUGCCUCGUGGGUGCUGGGAGGGCAGCCAGGGGCCAUUGGGGGCUUUGUGCCUAUCACUGAAGCACAGCAUGGACCUCCGCCCCUUCCUUGCACCCUUGGCAGCCAGGUGGGCACACCUGCCCCAGGCAGUCCCAGGCCCCAUCCCUGACCCUGGCUGGUACCCAGUGUUAGGGUUAGGGUUAGGGAUCCCCCAGACCAUAGCGUCCUUAAACAAAGGAACAAAGCUGAGCCCUGGCCUGGGUCACAGACAUGGGGUCUCAGGCGGCAGUGUCUCCGACUCCAGGAGCAGCUCAGCCCCGCCUCUUCCAGGAAGCCCGCAGGGACUGCUCCGUCCCUCUCUCUCUCUCUCUCUUUCCUCAAUAUUGCAUCCUUUCCUCAGCUCUAGAAUGGGAAGGGAGCUCAGCUGGCUUCACUGGGGUCCAAACCAGGGCACGUGUGAGAGUGCAGAUGGCACCAUUACCUGUUACGUGGGGACAUGGGCUGAAAACCAGGACCCUCCCAGGACAUUCGGGGGCCUGGCUUAUACCAUCAUGCGUCGUUGGCUGUUCGGGUGUUUCUGUCUCUGGUUCCCUUUCUUGUCAAGUCAGCUUCCUACCUGUAACGUGGCAGUGCUGGUGGCACUGUGAGGGUUCGGCGAGGCGGUCCUUGCUGCUAGGAAGCAUCCUGUCUUCUCUGUAUCCUUUCGGCACCAAGCUCAUGUCAGCCAGGGCUUCCGACGGUCUGAUGGCUGCCUGGAGGAGGCUCGGCCUGCUGCAGGUGCCCGGUGACAUUCCUAGGAUGACGGGUGGAGCGCGAAGGCUGGCUGGCUGGGUGGAUGCCUCCCUGAAUGGAGACUGAAUGAACACCGGGUCUCUUCUCUUCCCAGGUGGCUCUGGAGACCCCAGCCCCUGGCAGCGGGCAGCCGGGGAGGGUAUGAGUGUGCUUUUGUCCCCGUGGUUACCCAUUGCCACGUUACCCAUCGCCACGGUGGGCACACUCUCUCUGUUUCUGCUCCUUGAGUCUCGGACCCUGGCCGCCCACCAGGCCUCCCUCCCUCCCCUUGGCGCUGGCAGGACAGGCAGGUCAGGUGGGCUUCCAGUCAGGGCUCUUUUCUCCACCUCCCCAGGGGCUGUGUGUGCGUGUGUGGUUCUGAGUGUGUGGUUCUGUGCGUCUGUCGGUGUGUGCACCCAGCAAGCCCAGCGGGCGAGGUGGCCCCUGUGGCUUCGGGCUGAAGGAAUUAGUGUGCCGCGUGCAAUGGCUUUGGCAGCUGGCCGGGCUCGCCGCCCCUGGAUGCCAUGAGGGGCGUGGACGUGACACAUGUCCCACCUGCUGGUUUGGGGCAGGGCAGGGGCAGGGAGGAGAAGGCCCCUGAGCCUGGCUUUUUGGACUGCUCACUGCUGCUGCUGUCCUCCGUGGGGUAAGGACAGACAGGUGGACAGGAGCCAAUCUCUCUGCUCCUUCACCUCGGUGACACUGGCUCCGUGCCCUCCCUUAUGGGGGCCGAGAGACCGUUCUAGGCACCCCUCGCCCCCCAGAAGUGGUGUGAAAAGUGGGGCUCUGGACCUCUUGGGCCUGGCUUCAGAUCCCCUGGCCACUCCUCAUUGCUGUGUGCCCGGGAUAAGCCGCCUCACCUCUCUGGGCCGCUUCCCAACAUGAAUCCCGCCAGCCAGGGCUCUGAGGACAGAGUGGGUCAGGACCUGAGGCCCUCAGGACACCGCAGGUCAGCAGUGUGAGCCAUCAGCCCCUUGCCUGGCACUGUCCCCAUUGUCAUUCUGGUCACCUUUUCUGGGAGCAUUUGAACCCCAGUGUCACCCCCCACAGCCCAGCUCUCCCAGGUGGGGAGCAAGGCAGGAAACUCAGGAUGCUGACUCGGCCAGGGGAGAUCCCACGUGACCCCCACCAGCCAUAGGGCGGGAGGCAGCCUGCCAAGGUGAGGCACAG